rnacentral:rRNA from 1 species
UGCAGUCGAGCGGCAGCACGGGAGCUUGCUCCUGGUGGCGAGCGGCGGACGGGUGAGUAAUGCCUAGGAAUCUGCCUGUUAGUGGGGGAUAACUCGGGGAAACUCGAGCUAAUACCGCAUACGUCCUACGGGAGAAAGUGGGGGACCUUCGGGCCUCACGCUAACAGAUGAGCCUAGGUCGGAUUAGCUAGUUGGUGGGGUAAAGGCCUACCAAGGCGACGAUCCGUAGCUGGUCUGAGAGGAUGAUCAGCCACACUGGAACUGAGACACGGUCCAGACUCCUACGGGAGGCAGCAGUGGGGAAUAUUGGACAAUGGGCGCAAGCCUGAUCCAGCCAUGCCGCGUGUGUGAAGAAGGUCUUCGGAUUGUAAAGCACUUUAAGUUGGGAGGAAGGGCUCUUGGCUAAUACCCGAGGGUUUUGACGUUACCAACAGAAUAAGCACCGGCUAACUUCGUGCCAGCAGCCGCGGUAAUACGAAGGGUGCGAGCGUUAAUCGGAAUUACUGGGCGCAAAGCGCGCGUAGGCGGUUUGUUAAGUUGGAGGUGAAAUCCCCGGGCUCAACCUGGGAACUGCCUCCAAAACUGGCUGACUAGAGUACGGUAGAGGGUGGUGGAAUUUCCUGUGUAGCGGUGAAAUGCGUAGAUAUAGGAAGGAACACCAGUGGCGAAGGCGACCACCUGGACUGAUACUGACGCUGAGGUGCGAAAGCGU